rnacentral:snRNA from 1 species
AUACUUACCUGGCAGGGGAGAUACCAUGAUCAGGAAGGUGGUUUUCCCAGGGCGAGGCUCAUCCAUUGCACUUUAGGAUGUGCUGACCCCUGCGAUUUCCCCAAAUGCGGGAAACUCGACUGCAAAAUUUGUGGUAGUGGGGGACUGCGUUCGCGCUCUUCCCUG